CCUACGGGAGGCAGCAGUGAGGAAUAUUGGACAAUGGUCGAAAGACUGAUCCAGCCAUGCCGCGUGCAGGAAGACGGCCCUAUGGGUUGUAAACUGCUUUUGUUUGGGAAGAAACCUUUCUACGUGUAGAAAGCUGACGGUACCAUACGAAUAAGCACCGGCUAACUCCGUGCCAGCAGCCGCGGUAAUACGGAGGGUGCAAGCGUUAUCCGGAUUUAUUGGGUUUAAAGGGUCCGUAGGCGGACUUAUAAGUCAGUGGUGAAAUCCUGCAGCUCAACUGUAGAACUGCCAUUGAUACUGUAAGUCUUGAAUUCGGUUGAAGUGGGCGGAAUAUGGCAUGUAGCGGUGAAAUGCUUAGAUAUGCCAUAGAACACCGAUUGCGUAGGCAGCUCACUAAGCCUGGAUUGACGCUGAGGGACGAAAGCGUGGGUAGCGAACAGGAUUAGAUACCCUGGUAGUCCACGCCGUAAACGAUGAUUACUCGACAUUAGCGAUACACGGUUAGUGUNAUAAGACGAAGACAUUAAGUUAAUACCACCUCGGGUAGGUACGGUUCGUCGAAGAAGUAGAAACGUACAAAUAGAAGUUAGUACGGACGUGAGACGUACGACCGAACGGACGACCGACCGAGGGGAGGGUUAGGGAGG
rnacentral:rRNA from 1 species